UCGAACGAGAAAGUUUCCUUCGGGAAACCAGUAAAGUGGCGCAAGGGUGAGUAACACGUGAAUAAUCUGCCUACGAAUUCGGGAUAACUCGACGAAAGUUGUGCUAAUACCGGAUAAGACCACACUUCUUAUGGAGCGUGGCCAAAGGAGUCUCAAACUCCGUUUGUAGAUGAGUUCGCGGACCAUUAGCUUGUUGGCGGGAUAACAGCCCACCAAGGCGACGAUGGUUAGCCGGCCUGAGAGGGUGAUCGGCCACACUGGAACUGAGACACGGUCCAGACUCCUACGGGAGGCAGCAGUGGGGAAUAUUGCGCAAUGGGCGAAAGCCUGACGCAGCAACGCCGUGUGAGGGAUGAAGGCUUUUGAGUCGUAAACCUCUGUCAGAUGGGAAGAAUAAUGACGGUACCAUCAGAGGAAGCCCCGGCUAACUCCGUGCCAGCAGCCGCGGUAAUACGGAGGGGGCAAGCGUUGUUCGGAAUUAUUGGGCGUAAAGAGUAUGUAGGCGGCUGGAUAAGUCAGGCGUGUAAGCCCACGGCUCAACCGUGGAAUUGCGUUUGAAACUAUUCGGCUUGAGUGCAGGAGAGGAAGGCGGAAUUCCCAGUGUAGCGGUGAAAUGCAUUGAUAUUGGGAAGAACACCGGUGGCGAAGGCGGCCUUCUGGUCUGUUACUGACGCUGAGAUACGAAAGCCAGGGGAGCAAAGGGGAUUAGAUACCCCCGUAGUCCUGGCCGUAAACGAUGGGCACUAGGUGCGGGAGGUAUCGAUCCCUUCCGUGUCGCAGCUAACGCAUUAAGUGCCCCGCCUGGGGAGUACGGUCGCA
rnacentral:rRNA from 1 species